GUUGGAACACAGCGUCAUAGAGGGUGACAACCCCGUUCAUGACAUGGAUACCGGUGCUCUGUGAUACACUCUCGAAGAGUCGAGUUGUUUGGGAAUGCAGCUCAAAUUGGGUGGUAAAUUCCAUCUAAAGCUAAAUAUUGGCGAGAGACCGAUAGCAAACAAGUACCGUGAGGGAAAGAUGAAAAGCACUUUGGAAAGAGAGUUAACAGUACGUGAAAUUGUUGAAAGGGAAACGAUUGAAGUCAGACGUGCGUGAUGCGGUUCAGCCUUGGUUCGCCAGGGUGUAUUCCGUAUCUUUGCAGGCCAACAUCAGUUUCGAUAGUCGGAUAAAGAUUAGUUGAAUGUGGCACCCUCGGGUGUGUUA
rnacentral:rRNA from 1 species